UGUAGCUCAGUGGUAGAGCGCUUGCCUGGUGCUUGUGAGGCCCUGGGUUCAAUCCCCAGCA
rnacentral:tRNA from 1 species